GGGCGUUAAGUUGCAGGGUAUAGACCCGAAACCCGGUGAUCUAGCCAUGGGCAGGUUGAAGGUUGGGUAACACUAACUGGAGGACCGAACCGACUAAUGUUGAAAAAUUAGCGGAUGACCUGUGGCUGGGGGUGAAAGGCCAAUCAAACCGGGAGAUAGCUGGUUCUCCCCGAAAGCUAUUUAGGUAGCGCCUCGUGAAUUCAUCUCCGGGGGUAGAGCACUGUUUCGGCUAGGGGGCCAUCCCGGCUUACCAACCCGAUGCAAACUGCGAAUACCGGAGAAUGUUAUCACGGGAGACACACGGCGGGUGCUAACGUCCGUCGUGAAGAGGGAAACAACCCAGACCGCCAGCUAAGGUCCCAAAGUCAUGGUUAAGUGGGAAACGAUGUGGGAAGGCCCAGACAGCCAGGAUGUUGGCUUAGAAGCAGCCAUCAUUUAAAGAAAGCGUAAUAGCUCACUGGUCGAGUCGGCCUGCGCGGAAGAUGUAACGGGGCUAAACCAUGCACCGAAGCUGCGGCAGCGANNUGCUGGAGGUAUCAGAAGUGCGAAUGCUGACAUAAGUAACGAUAAAGCGGGUGAAAAGCCCGCUCGCCGGAAGACCAAGGGUUCCUGUCCAACGUUAAUCGGGGCAGGGUGAGUCGACCCCUAAGGCGAGGCCGAAAGGCGUAGUCGAUGGGAAACGGGUUAAUAUUCCCGUACUUGGUGUUACUGCGAAGGGGGGACGGAGAAGGCUAUGUUGGCCGGGCGACGGUUGUCCCGGUUUAAGCGUGUAGGUGUGUGUUCCAGGUAAAUCCGGUUCACUUUAACACUGAGGCGUGACGACGAGGCACUACGGUGCUGAAGCAACAAAUGCCCUGCUUCCAGGAAAAGCCUCUAAGCAUCAGGUAACAUCAAAUCGUACCCCAAACCGACACAGGUGGUCAGGUAGAGAAUACCAAGGCGCUUGAGAGAACUCGGGUGAAGGAACUAGGCAAAAUGGUGCCGUAACUUCGGGAGAAGGCACGCUGACAUGUAGGUGAAGUGAUUUACUCAUGGAGCUGAAGUCAGUCGAAGAUACCAGCUGGCUGCAACUGUUUAUUAAAAACACAGCACUGUGCAAACACGAAAGUGGACGUAUACGGUGUGACGCCUGCCCGGUGCCGGAAGGUUAAUUGAUGGGGUCAGCGCAAGCGAAGCUCCUGAUCGAAGCCCCGGUAAACGGCGGCCGUAACUAUAACGGUCCUAAGGUAGCGAAAUUCCUUGUCGGGUAAGUUCCGACCUGCACGAAUGGCGUAAUGAUGGCCAGGCUGUCUCCACCCGAGACUCAGUGAAAUUGAACUCGCUGUGAAGAUGCAGUGUACCCGCGGCAAGACGGAAAGACCCCGUGAACCUUUACUAUAGCUUGACACUGAACAUUGAGCCUUGAUGUGUAGGAUAGGUGGGAGGCUUUGAAGUGUGGACGCCAGUCUGCAUGGAGCCGACCUUGAAAUACCACCCUUUAAUGUUUGAUGUUCUAACGUGGACCCGUUAUCCGGGUUGCGGACAGUGUCUGGUGGGUAGUUUGACUGGGGCGGUCUCCUCCUAAAGAGUAACGGAGGAGCACGAAGGUUGGCUAAUCCUGGUCGGACAUCAGGAGGUUAGUGCAAUGGCAUAAGCCAGCUUGACUGCGAGCGUGACGGCGCGAGCAGGUGCGAAAGCAGGUCAUAGUGAUCCGGUGGUUCUGAAUGGAAGGGCCAUCGCUCAACGGAUAAAAGGUACUCCGGGGAUAACAGGCUGAUACCGCCCAAGAGUUCAUAUCGACGGCGGUGUUUGGCACCUCGAUGUCGGCUCAUCACAUCCUGGGGCUGAAGUAGGUCCCAAGGGUAUGGCUGUUCGCCAUUUAAAGUGGUACGCGAGCUGGGUUUAGAACGUCGUGAGACAGUUCGGUCCCUAUCUGCCGUGGGCGCUGGAGAACUGAGGGGGGCUGCUCCUAGUACGAGAGGACCGGAGUGGACGCAUCACUGGUGUUCGGGUUGUCAUGCCAAUGGCACUGCCCGGUAGCUAAAUGCGGAAGAGAUAAGUGCUGAAAGCAUCUAAGCACGAAACUUGCCCCGAGAUGAGUUCUCCCGGGGACUUUAGGUAUCCGGAAGGAAAGUUGA
rnacentral:rRNA from 1 species